rnacentral:rRNA from 1 species
GAGUUUGAUCGUGGCUCAGAUUGAACGCUGGCGGCAUGGCUAAAACAUGCAAGUCGAACGAGAACCUCGCAAGAGGGGACAGUGGCGGAAGGGUCAGUAAUGGGAUCGAAUGUACCCCGAGGUGGAGGAUAGCGUCGGGAAACUGACGGUAAUACUCCAUGUCCUCUACGGAGAAAAGAUUUAUCGCCUUGGGAGCAGCGAUCCUCCUAUCAGGUAGUUGGCGGGGUAAAAGCCCACCAAGCCGAAGACGGGUAGCGGGUGUGAGAGCACGGCCCGCGACAUCGAGACUGAGACACUGCUCGGACUCCUACGGGAGGCUGCAGUAACGAAUAUUCCGCAAUGCGCGAAAGCGUGACGGAGCAAUGCCGCGUGCAGGAUGAAGCGGUUUUGCCGUGUAAACUGCUGUCAGGGAUAAGAAAUACUGAUCUAUCCCAGAGGAAGGGGCGACUAACUCUGUGCCAGCAGCCGCAGU